CUGAUUCACAAUCUACAAGGUGAUACAUCAGACAGCUGUUGUCCAGUAGGAAGUCUGAUACACAAUCUAGAAAGUGAUACAUCAGGCGGGUGUUGUCCAGUAGAG